rnacentral:tRNA from 1 species
CAGAAAGUAGUUUAUUUAAAAUCUAGGUUUUGGAAAUCUAAGAUGCUCUCCUAGAGUCUUUCUGA